UGCAGUCUAUUAUUUUCUAGCAUAUAUAUAAAACAUUUGGUUUUCAGAAGUUUGACUGUGAUGAGUCUGGGCAAGGUUUAUUUGUAGUUCAUCUUAUUUGAUGUUUACUUCUUGACAUACUUGUAUCUAAAUUUAUGUCUUUUACCACAUUUGGGAAGAUUACCAUCAUUAUUUCCACAAAUGUAUAUUUCUACCCCAGACUUUUUCUCCUAUCUUCCUAGAACUCUAAUGACUCAAACUUUAAUAAUUUUGAAAAUUUCCCAUAAGUACCAAGACUCUGUUUAUAGCUUUUCAAUAAUUGAUUCUCUUUGUUCAUUCAUCUGAUUUGUUGUCUUCUGUUGACCUAUCUGAAAGCUCACUGGUUCUUUUCUUUAUAAUUUCUAUUCAUCAUCAAAUAAAAUUUGUAUUUUAGAUAUUUAAUUUCAUAAUUUCUAUUUCUCUGCCAAGAAUAUAUAUCUUUUUGUUCAUUUUAUUUGUAAUUAUCUUUAAUUCAGUUAUGAUAGCUCCAUUAAAUAAUUUCCAAGUAAUUCUAACAUUUGAGUCAUCUGAGGAUUGACAUCUGUUGAUUAUACUUUUUCUUUAGAAUUGAUUGUGCUGUUUCUGUAGACUGCAACAAAUGAAUCUGAUUUUAUUACAAACUCAUGACAUAAUCACACUGAACAGAGUAGGAAAAAAAUGAGCUAAGUUGACUAAUUCUGGAAAACAGUGUUUUGACUAGAAACUCCAAGGCUAAAUAUAAAAGUACACUGUAUAUAAACACUAUAUUCUAGUUGGUAAGUUUGUUUCUCCUGAGAGUAGAGCCUAAAAAUUCUGAAACUGCUUUACACAUAUACUGAGGGUGAGUAUAUGA
rnacentral:lncRNA from 10 species